rnacentral:tRNA from 1 species
AGAAAAGUAAGUGAAACUAAUGAGUUUAUUUCUCAAUCAUAGAGUAAAUUUCUCCUUUUUCUA